UUUCAUAACAUAAAUAUUCAUUUCAUUUAAAUAAUCAAUAUGGCUUAUGAGUAUCUUAAAAGCUUGGCUCUUGCCAAAAUCAUUCUCGGGAAUACCUUGGCUGAGGCAUUUAACCGAGUCUGCCAAGGCUGUUAAAAAGUUUCGUAUACACAUAAACAUAUUUUUAGUUUGAAAAACACAACCAUUCCUUGGCGUUAGCGGAGUUCAUCAUCACGAGGUAGUUCGGCAUGACGUGAACUCUAACCAUACCUCAAGAGAUACCCUACGCGCCUCUCCGACUGAGGUAUGUAUAUAACCGAAUUCCAUGCCCCUCUAAUAGGCUGGUCCACAGAACUCGUCCACUACAACAAGCUAAACCCACCAUACAAUAAAAAUUCAACAGCAUGACAUGACAAUUUUAUCAUUAUCCAGCCUAUCAAGGCAAACAACAAUUUAUAUAUUUUCAACACAAAUACCAAUUCAACCAUUCAUGCCAAUAUUGCCAUAAGCCAAUCAAUUAGAACCAUAAAUUCACAAUACAUCAAAUGGCCUUCAAUUACUCUAUUUUCAAAGCCAUCAUUCAAUUUCAAGACAAUUAAUAACAUAAUUUCAUUUAAACACAUUUUGUUUAUAAAACCUAAAAAUUAACCAUUUAAACUCAUUUUUCAUAAAAUUCACAAAAUUAGAUAAAAAGCACUUUAGAUAAUUAAGAUGAUGUAAGGUUACUCACUAUUUCGGGAGUCGAAUUUUUAGAGUACUCCGACUAUUGAUCCUCGGGUAAUAUUUCUUUGCCCUUAUCGGAGGAUUCACCACCUAAACAUAAUGCAAAAUCAAGCAAUUUACCACAUUGGUGCUAAACCGUUAUAAAGCUAUAUGGAUGAAUGAAAUGGAAUGCAAAUUGUUCAGAUUAUCGUCUAAACAUGGUGUUCUACACAAAUUCAAUUGUGUACCUAAAUAAAACGGUAUUGGCCUAAUUCGAUCUAUCACCCGAUUAAUUGGCCAAUAUGUCCAAUUCAACUCCAAUUAACUCCAUUUUUCUUCGAAUUCUCCAAAUUAUCAAACACAAGUCAAAUAGCAUAAAAUUUAGCAAAAAUUAUCUUCACAUUUUCUUUUGGGAAUUUCGGCCAUGGUGGGUGCAUCAACACUAUGAUUUUUCUUACUCGAUUUUCUCACCGUAAUUCAUCAUUUCCUAACCAAUUCACUUGAAAUAAAAUCAAAUCCACCAUCCACACUCUACAUGGAAAAUUCGGCCAAUGAUGGGCAAUGGAAGAACAUGAAUUUUUCUUACUUGAUUUUCAUGCUACACAUCACUAACUAACUAAAAACACCAAAAUAUCUUAAAAUCUAACCAAAUCAAGCAUCAGAACUCCUCCCCCCAUGUCCGGCCAGCAAGGUUACUCUCAUGCGAACUUGAUUCUCAUCCAUGGAAAAUGAAAAAGAAUGCAUAGGAAUGGUAGAUCACAAGCUAGAAUUGAAAAAUCUUACCUUUUGUCACUUGAUUCUUUGAAUUUUCACACUUUUCCCUUGAAUUUUUUUACCUAGGGUUUGGUUCUUUCUUUUCUUCCUUUGUUCUUGCUUUGGCGUGCCAUAUGAAGAGAAAUGGGUUGAUUUAUGUGUUGAUUCUUAAGCCAAAUAUUUAAUGGAUGAAAAUUUGACGCAUGUCACCAUUCCAUUGGUCCAUGUGUCAUACUUACCUAUUAAGUAAUCUCUCUCCACCACUUAAAUUUUCUCAAUUAUCCAUGAUAAUAUUGGGUAAAAUCCAUGUGCUGGACAAGUGUUGGGUGGUGUAAAAUUAGAAUUUUGCCCUUAGGGUGGCUAAAUGACUAUUUUACCCCUAUGCUUGAAAAAAUGUCAAAAUUAAAAUUUUUCACUUCUCAAACUCAAAUUAUACUCCAAAUGAUCAAUCUUAGUCAAAAAUUCAUCCAACACUCACAUCUUAACCUCGGGUAGCAAAAUAACCAUUUUACCCUUAGAUCAUGAAAAUUUCAAUUUGACUCCAAAUUGGUCCUCGAACUCUGAGCCACGAUUUUAAGUCAUUCUAGGGUUUUAAAAUUCUCAAUUUCAUCAUAAAAUCUCUAUUUGAACUAGUUUGAGGCUUAAUUCAACUUAGUUGCACCAUUAGGUACACUACUGACUUUUGACCAUUUUUCAGGGCUUUCUAAGUAUACAAGCAUUCUGUCAAUCACAUGAAUGACAUGGCUAAUAUUUUAUAAGGUCGGACUUGAUAGCACUACCCCCCUUAAAAUAAAAUUUUGACCUCAAAAUUUCACUGAUCGGAUUCGAAGAAAAGAUAUGGAUAUUGGUUUCUCAUCUGGUGCUCGACUUCCCACGUCAUCUCCUCCAUUCGGGCAUUCUUCCACAAUACUUUCACCAUUGGAAUGCUUUUGUUCCUUAGCACUCGAUCCUUUCGAUCUAGAAUACGUACAAGCUGCACCUCGAACUUCAAAUCUUCAUGCAACUCAAUCGGUGGUGUCUCUAGAAUAUGGGAGGGAUCGGGAACAUACUUUUUCAACAUCGAGACGUGGAAGACAUUAUGAAUCCGAUCUAACUCUGGGGGUAAUUCAAGUCUGUAAGCCACUGGCCCAAUCAUUUCAAUGAUACGAAAGGGUCCAAUGUAUCUCGGAUUGAGCUUUCCCCACUUCGCGAAUCGAAUCAUACCUUUCAUUAUCCAAUAAAUACCACAAAUUAUCACAAUAGUGUAAUUAAAUAAGAUUUAAUACUUAGAAUUUUCAAAUUAUUACCUUUCCAAGGAGAAACCUUAAGAAAAACUUUAUCGUUGACUUCAAACACCAAAUCUUUCCUUCGUUUAUCAGAAUAACUCUUCUGCCUAUCUUGAGCUAUCUUUAAUCGCUCUCGGAUAAUCUUAAUAUUGUCAUUAGUCAAGUCAAUCAAUUCCGCAUUAAACAAUUUCCUCUCACCCACUUCAUCCCAACAGAGCAGAGUUUAGCAUUUUCUUCCAUACAGAGCCUCAUAUGGUGCCAUCCUAAUACUAGAUUGAAAACUGUUAUUAUACGCGAACUUCACUAAUGGCAAGUGUCUGUCCCAACUCCUAAUAAAGUCAAUGACACAAGCCCGUAACAUAUCCUCCAAGCUCUGAAUAGUCUUUUCAGAUUGACUAUCAGUGUGCAGAUGAAAGGUAGUACUAAAUCUCAAUUUAGUUUCGAGAGCUUCUUAAAAUUUCAGCCAAAAUUGAGAAGUAAACCGAGGGUCUUGAUCUGACACAAUAGAAACUAGAACUUCGUGUAAUCUCACAAUCUCAUCUAUAUAAAGUUUCGCCAGUUUCUCAAUAGAAUACGUGCUAUGGAUAGCCAAGAAAUGGGGGAACUUAUUCAAUCUAUCCACAAUCACCCAAAUAGCAUCUUUCCCACUCUGUGUCCGUGGCAAACGCAAUACAAAGUCCAUAGUCACAUAUUCCCACUUCCAUUCAGGAAUCGGUAAAGGCUGAAGAGUACCUGAUGGUUUUUUAUGCUUCGCCUUGAUCUGUUGGCAUGUGAGACAUUUGGCUAUAAACUUUGCUAUGUCUCGUUUCAUACCCGACCACCAAUAACUUUUUUUAAUAGUUUGAUACAUCUUGGUGCUUUCGGGAUCUAAAGCAUAAGCGGAAGAAUGAACUUCCUCCAAAAUAACUCGUCUUAACUAAUCAUCCUUAGAGACACAAAUUCGGUCUCUAAGCAUCAAAGUACCAUCAUCACUGAGUCUAAACUCACUAGUUUCUCCAUCUUACAGCUUUUGAACUUUCUGUUUCAACCAAUCAUCAGAUUUCUACAAUUCUCUGAUUUGAUUCAACAAUGAAGGUCUCACAACGAAACUAGCAAGUAGGGUUCCAUUCUCACCAUUAUUCAACUGGACCCCUAGAGACUUCAUCUCAAGUAACAUCAAAAAAUAAGAACUCUGAAGCGUUGCUAACGACGAUGAGGAUUUACGACUUAAGGCAUCUGCUACAACAUUUGCCUUUCUAGGGUGAUAAUCGAUCACUAAGUUGUAAUCCUUGAUCAACUCUAGCCACCGUCUUUGUCUCAAAUUAAGUUCUUUUUGGGUGAGCAAAUAUUUCAAACUUUUAUGAUCAGUAAAAAUUCGACAACGCUCACCAUAUAAAUAAUGCCUCCAAAUCUUCAAUGCAAAGACUACUGUUGCUAAAUCCAAAUCAUGGGUAAGGUAAUUCGUCUCAUACUUCUUCAACUGUCGGGAAGCAUAAGCUAUUACUUUUUCAUCCUGCAUCAAUACGCACCCUAAUCCCAACUUAGAGGCAUCACUGUAUACCACAAAUUUUUCCCACCAACCGAAAGUGUCAGAACGGGAGCGGAGGUUAACCGGUUCUUUAGCUCCUGAAAUUGACUCUCAUAAACAUCAUCCCACUCAAACUUAACUCCUUUACAAGUUAGACGAGUCAAAGGAGCAGCUAUCAAUGAAAAUCCUUGAACAAAUCUUCGAUAAUAAUCGGCUAAGCCAAGGAAAAUGCGAAUCUCAGUUACCGUUCUCGGUUGCUCCCAUUGUAAGAUUGCCUCAAUCUUCUUGGGAUCGACAUAAAUUUCAGCACCGGACACCACAUGUCCCAAGAAAACCACUUCCUUUAACCAGAACUCACAUUUAGAUAAUUUGGCAUAGAGUUGUUUUUCACACAAGGUUUGCAACACAAUACGCAAAUGGGCAGAAUGUUCAUCAUCAUUUUUCGAAUAAACCAGGAUGUCAUCUAUGAAUACUAUCACGAACUUAUCCAAGUAUGGAUGGAACACCUUAUUCAUAAGAUCCAUAAAAGCUGCCAGGGCAUUAGUCAAACUAAACGGCAUCAUCAGAAACUCAUAAUGCCCAUAACGCAUCCUAAAAGCAGUCUUGGGUACAUCCUGCUCUUUAAUCUUCAACUGAUAAUACCCAGACCUCAAAUCAAUCUUAGAAAACACCAUAGCACCUCGCAAUUGAUUAAAAAGAUCAUCGAUCCGGGGUAAAAGGUAUUUAUUCUUGAUGGUCACUCGGUUCAGCUGACUGUAAUUGAUACACAAUCGAAGAGUGACAUCCUUCUUCUUUACAAAUAGGACUGGUGCUCCCCAAGGAGAAGUGUUAAGGCCAAUAAAAUCCUUAUCCACCAAAUCUUGCAGCUGGACUUUUAGUUCCUUUAACUCUGCCGGAGCCAUACUAUAUGAAGGGAUAGAAAUAGGUGCAGUACCCGAAAGUAAUUCAAUAGGGAACUCAAGCUCUCGCUCAGGAGGUAGUCUUGAUAAUUCGUCAGAAAAUACAUCAGGAAACUCACUUACUAUUGGGACAUCCUUUAAUUUAGGUUCCCCUUUUGAAAUAUUGAUCACAUGUGCUAAAUAUGCUGGAUACCCUUUCUGCACCAGUUUCAAAGUUUUGAUGGCCGAGAUUACACAGGACGGUAAUACUCGACGUUUCCUUGCAAAUACAAUCUCUGCUCCCUUCGAAUUUCGAAGAACAACUUCUUUCUUGAAACAAUCCACAUUCACCCGAUGUGCAGUUAACCAGUCCAUACCCAAUAUCAAAUCGAAAUCUUGGAUCUCUAGAGGAAUCAAGUCACCCUUAAGUUCUUCCUCACUAACCAUAACUCCACAAUAUCUAUAACAACUGUUUUUAACUAGCUUUUCUCCUAAAGGGGUGUGAACUACAAUUUUUUCCUCUAAUGGUGACAGGUCUCUAUCAACAAUUGAUGCAAAUGACAUACUCACAUAAGACUUAUCUGAGCCAGAAUCUAUCAAAACAUAAGCAUCUUUAUUAAAUAAAGCCAUAGUACCUGUCACUACUCCAAGUCAAACCCGUGCCUCAUCUUCCGUCACCGCAAAAACUCUUGUCGAAGUAUGAGUCUGUGGUCUCGAAGGUGGAUAUGCCGGGGUGUUACUCUCUACACCAAACUGUAUAGCUACUCCCUCCCUUGGUGGUAACCUAGAAGGAUUUCUCCUCUACAUAUCUAUACGAGCUGGUGGAGAUGAAGCAGUUGCAGUAGCCUAUCUUAGCUGUGGAAAAUCACUCCUAAUGUGGCCCGGCUAACCACAAUGAAAACAUCGUAUUGGUCCCCUACACGGCCCAAAAUGAUUCUUCCCACAUUUUCGGCAUCUAUUAGAACCUCUGGAACUCUUCUUAGAAGUAGUCAUUGUAGAUUUGCUAAAUCUCGGAGGCCUCUGCUAUGUCUGUGAAAAUGAAGGUCGAGGAGAUGUCACUGAAAUAGAGGUAGUACUCCCUGAAACAGAUGAGUCUUUGCCCCUUUUUAGUGGCUGACUAAAAGAUACACUCGGGCUUCUCCUUUUUGCAAACUCAGCUUGCAUUUUCUUAUUUGCAUUUGCAAGCUUCUCGGCCUUUAAAGCCAUAUGUACCACCUCCUUAUGUGGCUCCCUAUCAGUCAUUGUCAUCCGCUCUCUAAUCUCAUUACGGAGCCCUUCCUCAAAAUAACUGGCCCGAUCCUGCUCAGAUUUCACCAGAUCCGGCACAUAUAACAUCAGUUCAUUAAAAUGAGCUUCGUACUCCUCUACAGUUAAAUUCCCCUAUUUCAAACGUAGAAAUUCUCUCUUCUUUUCUUUCUGAUGGAAAUAAGUGAAAUACUAACCAUCAAAUUCUCUUAGAAAGUUUGACCAAAUCGGAGGAGUAGUGGAAUGAGAUUUUACUGAAUUUUACCAUGUACAGGCUCUCUUCUCCAAUAAUCUCGUGGCCACUAUCUACUUCAUGUAAUCAUCCAACCUCAUAUCCGAAAGUUUCUCCAAAACCUGAUUAAUCCAAUCUUUGGCUACGGUUACGUCCAACUCACCCGUAAAAGAAACGUAACCCAGUUUUCUAGCCUCCUUCAGCUUCUUAGAAAUAGAUACAUCCUGUACUAGCGGUGGAACUGGAGGUGGGGGUGGUGGUACUGUAGGAGCAACUGGUGGUACUAUAGGAGGAGCCUGACCAGCUUGAGCUUGGCCAGCAAUAGUAGUAAAGAAGGCUACCAAUGCCUGGACUGCCUCAGGAGACAUGGCAGGAGUACCAGUAGGUGGUGGAGGAUGUGGAGGAGUUUCGGCUUGCUCAACACCAAGUGUUGCCGGAAUGGUGGACGCAGUCGAUUCCUCAUUUACUACAUCUAGCUGACGAUGUUGGGAACGACCUCUUCCCCUCCCAGUCGAUCUAAUGAGAGGUGGGUGUUCCCGUCGAGGAGGCAUAAUAAUCUAUAAGAGGAAACAAGUAAGUUUAGGCAACCUUAAGCUCUAUAUGUAGAUGCAUGUAUUCUAUUCGACCUAUCCUAAUUUAACUUGGGGCCACAUUGACACUGUAAAUUUUUAAAACAACUUUAAAACCAAAAGCUCUGAUACCACUUUACUUGUCAAGACUCGGUACUCCCUUAGAGCCCGUGAUAACCAUCGCGGUGUCCCGAUAGACACGAAUUACCGGGAAUACCAACCAGAACCUCGCAAGGCUUUAAUAUCAGUUUCUCAUUUUCCUUGUGAGUAACCGUUGCCAAAUAUCAUGUUCUAAAGGAUUUUAAGCUAUUUCCAACUUAAAACAAUAAAAAAUUGAUUUCUGUCUCACAGGGGCAUUUUAGUCAUUUUCCAUAAAAAUUUCGAAACUAGGUAAAAAUGUAGUACACGAGUACAAAACACAUAAUUCAUAUAAAAAAUAAGUUUAAACUUCUAAAACCUUCAUUUAAAAUGAAAUUAUGAUUAUUUGGAUAUAAUAAUAAAAAAUAAAAAAAAUAAAAAUAUUUAAUAAAAUAUUCUAUUUCUUAUAAAACAAUAUUUUUAGAGUUAUAUGUAAGUAAUUUUUGUAGCGUAAAAGCAAAAUAAAUUCAUACAUAUUGUAAUAAAGUAAGCUAGGGUAUUUAAUUUAAUUUACAAUAACAAGUGGGCCCCCGGAUAAUCAAAAGUAAGAAAGACUGUGAACCUACAGUUUGGAGGAUGCAAAUCCAAUGGUAGCUUUCGAUGAAAUCAGCUAUCUACAGCCUAUUUUGAGCUUGAAAUGGGUGGAAAGGAGGGUGGUGAGAUUAUAUAAUCCCAGUGAGUAAACAAACAUCAUCCAAAAUAUCUAAAGUCGAGUAAAUAGAGACGAUUAAAAUAUUCCAUCUCAAUAUGUAUUUCAUAACAUAAAUAUUCAUUUCAUUUAAAUAAUCAAUAUGGCUUAUGAGUAUCUUAAAAGCUUGGCUCCUGCCAAAAUCAUUCUCGAGAAUACCUUGGUCGAGGCAUUUAACCGAGUCUGCCAAGGCUGUUAAAAAGUUUCGUAUACACAUAAACAUAUUUUUAGUUUGAAAAACACAACCGUUCCUUGGCGUUAGCAGAGUUCAUCAUCACGAGGUAGUUCAGCGUGACGUAAACUCUAACCAUACCUCAGGAGAUACCCUACGCGCCUCUCCGACCGAGGUACAUAUAUAACCGGAUUUCGUGCCCCUCUA
rnacentral:lncRNA from 1 species